rnacentral:lncRNA from 1 species
UUAACCUCCUCAUUACCCUCCUCAUUAAUUAACCUCCUCAUUAAUUCCCCUCCUCUCCCUCCCCAUCUCCCUCUCCAUUUACCUCCCUCUUUCCUCUCCCUCUCCAUUUCUCUCCCCAUCUCCCUUCCUCUCUCCUCCUCCAUCUCCCUCUCCCUCUCCCCGUCUCCAUUCCCCUCCUUUCUCUCCCUCUCCCCGUCUCCAUCUCCCCGCCAUUUCUCUCUCUCCCUCCCCAUCUCCCUCACACUCUCCUCCCCAUCUCCAUCUCCCCCGCCAUUUCUCUCUCCCUCUCCCUCUCUCUCCCUCCAUCUCCAUCUCCCCGUCUCCAUUUCCCUCCUUUCUCUCCCUCUCCCCAUCUCCAUCUCCUUCGCCAUCUCCCCCAUUUCUCUCCCUCGUCUUUCCCUCUCCAUUUCUCUCUCCCUCUCUCCAUCUCCCUCCCUCUCCUCCUCCAUCUCCCCAUCUCCCUCUCCAUUUCUCUGUCUCCAUCUCCCUCUCCCCAUUUCCUUUCCCCUCCUCUCCCUCUCCAUCUCUCUCUCCCUCUCCAUUUCUCUCUCCCUCUCCAUUUCUCUGUCUCCGUCUCCCUCUCCCUAUUUCCUUUCCCCUCCUCUCCCUCUCCAUUUCUCUCCCUCCCUUUCCUCUCCCUCUCCAUUUCUGUCUCCAUCUCCCUCUCCCUAUUUCCUUUCCCCUCCUCUCCCUCUCCAUCUCUCUCUCCCUCCCCAUUUCUCUCUCCCUCCCCAUUUCUCUCUCCCUCUCCAUUUCUCUCCUCCCUCUCUCCUCCCUCUCCUCCAUUUCUCCUCCUCCAUUCCUCCCUCCCCACCACGUGACCCAUCUGGCCCCGCCCCUUUUCCCGCCUUUUCCC